UCAUAACCGAAAGGACCUGAGUUUGAUCCCCGGUACCAAAAAAAAAAAAUUAAAUAUAUAUAUAUCCCCGUGGUGUCAAUUAGUUACACAUAUUAGCUAUUAGAAUUAUACCUAGAAAAUUGAAAAUAGUCAUAUGCAUGAAAUAAGGCAGAGUAUAUUUCAUGUAAUCAAAUUUAAAGAAUUACAGAAUUUGAUUAACAGAAGUAAUAGUUUCAUAUGUAUUUCUUUUCAGAAUUGUUCUCAAGAUUACCAUAACUGAACAUAAAAUUUGAAAUUGUGGUACACAUCAUAAAAUCCUAAAAUUUAUAGAACAUAAGUUUAUGGUUGAAUAUGUUCUCUAAAUAGGACUUAAUAAAGGUCUAAUGCAACUUCAAUUUCAGAGAAACAUAGAAACUGCUUUUUUAUUUUCUCCCUCUCUAUCCCUCCUCACCUCUUACUUUCUUCUUUGACUUCUUUUUUCCCUUUGCCUGCAGAGAAGCAGGUAGGGAGAGAGUGGAAUUGUCCCCUUAAGUGAGUCUGUUAUUACCACUGGCAUAUUUUUCAGACUGUGUUCUUCAAUUGUAGUUCCCUAAAGAAAACUUAUAUCCCUGUUUCAGGGCGCCUGAGGAAGCUGGUCUCAGUGCUCAGCAAGUAAAAUGUACAACAAAAGGACAAAUUACAGAAACUUUAUAGAAUCAUAGAAGCAUACAGUUAUAGAGCAGAAGUGGACCACUGAGAUCUUUUAGUCUGUUCCCCUCACAUAUAAUAGCUCAUUUUUUCUUUCAGGUUUUUCAUAGAAAAGUCCUAAUAUGAAGAACAACAAACAGUAAUCUCUUCAGAUAUGACUUAACAAGGAGAAACUAAGCAAGUAUUUUUUAAUAGUGAUUUCUUGAGUAAAGAAGGGGUUUCUUUUCAAGCCAUUUGCUGUUAUAGCUCACCUUCCACUUUCACCUGCUUCUUGGAACAACUGACAAAGCAGAAAUCCAGCUGCUCCAGGCUUCCAGCACCGUAUGCUGUGUUAUCUGGUGCUCCCUGUGCUGUG
rnacentral:lncRNA from 1 species